rnacentral:sRNA from 1 species
GCCGGGUGCAGUGGUGCAUACCUGUAAUCCCAGCUACUUGGGAAGCUGAGGCAGGAGGAUCGUGAGUUCAAACCCAGUCUCAG